AUUGAACGCUGGCGGCAUGCCUUACACAUGCAAGUCGAACGGCAGCACGGGAGCAAUCCUGGUGGCGAGUGGCGAACGGGUGAGUAAAGCAUCGGAACGUGCCCAGUCGUGGGGGAUAACGUAGCGAAAGCUACGCUAAUACCGCAUACGAUCUGUGGAUGAAAGCGGGGGACCGUAAGGCCUCGCGCGAUUGGAGCGGCCGAUGUCAGAUUAGGUAGUUGGUGAGGUAAAGGCUCACCAAGCCGACGAUCUGUAGCUGGUCUGAGAGGACGACCGGCCACACUGGGACGGAGACACGGCCCAGACUCCUACGGGAGGCAGCAGUGGGGAAUUUUGGACAAUGGGCGCAAGCCUGAUCCAGCAAUGCCGCGUGCAGGAUGAAGGCCUUCGGGUUGUAAACUGCUUUUGUACGGAGCGAAACGGCUUCCACUAAUACUGGGGGCUAAUGACGGUACCGUAAGAAUAAGCACCGGCUAACUACGUGCCAGCAGCCGCAGUAAAAC
rnacentral:rRNA from 1 species